rnacentral:rRNA from 1 species
GACGAACGCUGGCGGCGUGCUUAACACAUGCAAGUCGAACGGAAAGGCCCUGCUUUUGUGGGGUGCUCGAGUGGCGAACGGGUGAGUAACACGUGAGUAACCUGCCCUUGCCUUUGGGAUAACUUCAGGAAACUGGGGCUAAUACCGGAUAGGAGCUCCUGCGGCAUGGUGGGGGUUGGAAAGUUUCGGCGGUUGGGGAUGGACUCGCGGCUUAUCAGCUUGUUGGUGGGGUAGUGGCUUACCAAGGCUUUGACGGGUAGCCGGCCUGAGAGGGUGACCGGCCACAUUGGGACUGAGAUACGGCCCAGACUCCUACGGGAGGCAGCAGUGGGGAAUAUUGCACAAUGGGCGGAAGCCUGAUGCAGCAACGCCGCGUGCGGGAUGACGGCCUUCGGGUUGUAAACCGCUUUCGCCUGUGACGAAGCGUGAGUGACGGUAAUGGGUAAAGAAGCACCGGCUAACUACGUG